AUGAACGCUAGCGACAGGCCUAACACAUGCAAGUCGAGGGGCGAGCACAAGGAGCAAUCUGAGGUGGCGACCGGCGCACGGGUGAGUAACACGUAUGCAACCUGCCUGUAAGCGGGGAAUAACCCGUUGAAAGACGGACUAAUACCGCAUAAUACUAAAUUACUGCAUGGUAAUUUAUUUAAACAUUUAUGGCUUACAGAUGGGCAUGCGCAUGAUUAGCUAGUUGGAGAGGUAACGGCUCCCCAAGGCAACGAUCAUUAGGGGUUCUGAGAGGAAGGUCCCCCACACUGGUACUGAGACACGGACCAGACUCCUACGGGAGGCAGCAGUGAGGAAUAUUGGUCAAUGGACGAGAGUCUGAACCAGCCAAGUCGCGUGCAGGAAGAAUGUCCUUAAUGGAUUGUAAACUGCUUUUGCAGGGGAAUAAAGUGCAUCACGUGUGAUGUUUUGUAUGUACUCUGCGAAUAAGGAUCGGCUAACUCCGUGCCAGCCGCAGC
rnacentral:rRNA from 1 species